CCCGCCACUAUGCCAUUCUGAUGUGAUUGGUAAUAAUCCAGUGGUGUGCUUAGAUCCGCAUCCAUCUUAGGAAACAGGCUCCCUCUACCAGUGAGUGACUCUGUGCCGAAAGUUUGGUGACAGUU